rnacentral:rRNA from 1 species
AGGGCCUAGAGCCCUCUGAAGAGCCGUUCGAGACCAGGACGUUGAUAGGCAGGGUGUGUAAGCGUUGCGAGGCGUUGAGCUAACCUGUACUAAUGACUCGAGAGGCUUAACCAUACAACCCAGAUGGGUUUU